rnacentral:SRP_RNA from 1 species
GUCGCAGUUUCUCGGGAGAUUGAGGAUCCCAGCUUCUCAGGGGGCUGAGGUGGGAGGAUCGCUUGAGCCCAGGAGUUCUGGGCUGUAGUGCGCUAUGCCGAUCGGGUGUCCGCACUAAGUUUGGCAUCAAUAUGGUGACCUCCCAGGAGUGGGGGACCACCAGGUUGCCUAAGGAGGGAUGAACCGGUCCAGGUCAGAAACGGAACAGGUCAAAACUCCCGUGCUGAUCAGUAGUGGGAUCACGCCUGUGAAUAGCCACUGCACUCCAGCCUGGGCAACAUAGUGAGACCCCAUCUCU